rnacentral:rRNA from 1 species
ACUUAAAUUGAAGAGUUUGAUCAUGGCUCAGAUUGAACGCUGGCGGCAGGCCUAACACAUGCAAGGCGAGCGGUAGCACAGAGAGCUUGCUCUCGGGUGACGAGCGGCGGACGGGUGA